rnacentral:tRNA from 1 species
GGAGAUGUAGCUCAGCUGGCAGAGCACGAGCCUAGCAUGCUCGAGGCCCUGAUCUCAAUCCCUGACAUCUCAU